rnacentral:misc_RNA from 1 species
GGAUGAGGUCAUGAAGAUCAUGCCCGUCCAGAAGCAGACGCGCGCUGGGCAGCGCACUCGCUUCAAGGCAUUCGUCGUCGUCGGCGACAACAACGGGCAUGUCGGGCUGGGGGUUAAGUGUUCGAAGGAGGUGGCGACUGCAAUCCGUGGGGCCAUCAUUCUUGCGAAGCUGUCGGUGGUGCCGGUGAGGCGUGGGUACUGGGGGAACAAGAUUGGGAAGCCGCAUACUGUGCCUUGUAAGGUGACUGGUAAGUGUGGAUCUGUGACGGUGAGGAUGGUGCCGGCGCCGCGGGGGGCGGGGAUUGUGGCUGCCAGGGUGCCGAAGAAGGUGCUCCAGUUUGCUGGAAUUGAAGACGUGUUUACGUCUUCUCGUGGAUCUACUAAGACCCUUGGCAACUUUGUUAAGGCUACCUUUGAUUGCCUCAUGAAGACUUAUGGGUUCUUGACUCCUGAUCUCUGGAAGGAGACUCGCUUUGUCAGAUCUCCAUUCCAGGAGUACACAGACUUCCUGUCGAAGCCCGUGAAGGCAGUUUUAAUUGAGGAUGUUCCCGAGAAAGUAGAAGCUUAAUGUGGUUUAGGUUUGAGUUAUGAUUUUGGUUAUGCAUUUUCGUCUCUUGGUUGGAUCUUAAGACAAGUUUUAAGUUUGCUACAUUGUAGAUGGCUGUUUUGUUGUUCUG